AGCAGCCGCGGUAAUUCCAGCUCCAAUAGCGUAUAUUAAAGUUGUUGCAGUUAAAAAGCUCGUAGUUGAAUUUUGGAUUCUUCCAAUUGGUCCAUCUUUUAGAUGAGUACUGGUUGUGUGGGGUCUAUCCGCCUGGUGAUACGUAAUGUCCUUUAUUGGAUGUUGCGGGUAGUCAGGACCUUUACCUUGAAAAAUUAGAGUGUUUAAAGCAGGCUUAUGCCGGAAUACAUUAGCAUGGAAUAAUAGAAUAGGACGAAGUUGUUUUAUUUUGUUGGUUUCUAGGACAACCGUAAUGAUUAAUAGGGAUAGUUGGGGGCAUUAGUAUUCAAUUGUCAGAGGUGAAAUUCUUGGAUUUAUUGAAGACUAACUACUGCGAAAGCAUUUGCCAAGGAUGUUUUCAUUAAUCAAGAACGAAAGUUAGGGGAUCGAAGACGAUCAGAUACCGUCGUAGUCUUAACCAUAAACUAUGCCGACUAGGGAUCGGGCGAUGUUGUUUCCAUGACUCGCUCGGCACCUUAUG
rnacentral:rRNA from 1 species